rnacentral:tRNA from 1 species
GGCGGUGUAGCUCAGUCGGUCAGAGCAUGCGGCUCAUAUCCGCAGUGUCCGGGGUUCAAAUUCCUGCAACGCUA